rnacentral:rRNA from 1 species
UACGGAGGGUGCAAGCGUUAUCCGGAUUUACUGGGUUUAAAGGGUGCGUAGGUGGGCAGGUAAGUCAGUGGUGAAAUCUCCGGGCUUAACCCGGAAACUGCCAUUGAUACUAUCUGUCUUGAAUUUCCUGGAGGUAAGCGGAAUAUGUCAUGUAGCGGUGAAAUGCUUAGAUAUGACAUAGAACACCAAUUGCGAAGGCAGCUUACUACGGGAAUAUUGACACUGAGGCACGAAAGCGUGGGGAUCAAACAGG